AUUGAACGCUGGCGGCAGGCCUAACACAUGCAAGUCGAACGAGUGGCGGACGGGUGAGUAAUGUCUGGGAAACUGCCCGAUGGAGGGGGCUAACUACUGGAAACGGUAGCUAAUACCGCAUACCAUCGGAUGUGCCCAGAGGGGAUUAGCUAGUAGGGGGGGUAACGGCUCACCUAGGCGACGAUCCCUAGCUGGUCUGAGAGGAUGACCGGCCACCCUGGAACUGAGACACGGUCCAGACUCCUACGGGAGGCAGCAGUAGGGAAUAUUGCGCAAUGGGCGCAAGCCUGAUGGAGCAAUGCCGCGUGUAUGAAGAAGGUUUUCGGGUUGUAAAGUACUUUUAGCGAGGAAGCGUUACUCGCAGAAGAAGCACCGGCUAACUCCGUGCCAGCAGCCGCGGUAAUAC
rnacentral:rRNA from 1 species